GUACGCCUGAAGUGGAUACUUGUGUUGAGCUUUAGCGGCACCAGAGAGUUUUUUCCAGAAGAAAGUGAUACUGAUCCGCUGAGUUUAUUGAUUUGUGUUGAAAUAGCGGACAUGGCGUUGGAGAGGAGACUCAAAGCAACGAGACCGUUUUAGUAAGGGAACUAGGGGCUUGUUGUAACAGGGAUUUAAAUGAAUCCAAGCAAGGAAACUAAGGCAGGGAUAAACGGAGUCUAAGAAAGAACGCCUUUUGUUUCUACAGGCUAAUUAAGGCAAGGACGCAAUGAAAGACGUUUACGACCUUAACAAGCUAUUUCAUUCUAUAUACAUGCAACAAAAGCCGGUCAACUGUCCGUUUUGGA